CUUCUCUCUUGUGGGAUUCAGUGAUAAUGGGGAGGAGCUAUAGUUACAGACCAUCACCACCAAGGAGAAGGUACAGAAGCCCAAGUCCCGUGGGAUACUACAAAGGGCGGAGUAGAGAUGCCCCAACCAGUCUACUUGUUCGCAAUCUCCGGCUCGACUGUCGGCCAGAUGAUUUUCGUAGACCAUUUGGGCGGUUUGGUCGUCUCAAGGAUAUCUACAUACCUCGUAACUAUUACACUGGUGUUGAAGAUGAAGAAGUAGGAAGAUUAAUUUGCAUGAAGUAGUAAGAAUACUUUGUUUGAGACUACAGAGGGUAAGUGAGAUUAGUGUUGAUGACUGGUUAAUACUUCGAGAUUGAGUUUCAUUUUGAAGAUGUUCUGGUCAAAGUCGAAGUUAGUACAGUGGCUUCGAAAAGGGAGCCUCGUGGGUUUGGCUUUGUGCAGUACUAUGAUCCUGAUGAUGCUGCAGAUGCAAAGUAUCAUUUAGAUGGCUACGUUCUUCUAGGCCGCGAAAUCACUGUGGUGUUUGCAGAGGAGAACAGAAAGAAGCCUUCCGAAAUGAGAGAACGAUCAAGGGGAAGGACAUCUACAAGAUCUCCAUAUGGUCACUCCAGGUCUCCUGGCUACUCGCGUUCGCCAAACUACAGAAGAAACUACUCACGUUCGCCAGUCUACAGGAGAAGCUAUUCGCGUUCGCCGUAUGAUGAAAGGCACCGUUCAAGGUCUGUUUCACCGGGAGACAGGAGGCGAUCGUACUCAAGGUCAAGCUCAAGAUCUCGCUAUGAGUCGAGAAGCAGGAGCCAGAGUCCUGCAUACUCACGCUGAUUUGCUAUAUGACCCCAAGAAUGUGAAGAUGGGGUGUGGUCUCACGCUCUGCUUGUUAGUUAUGUAUGAAAAAUAAUAAAUCAUAGUUUGGAGUUAAGAGUACAAAGGUAACCUAUGGUUUGGUUUCAUUUCCUUAGUACUUAAUGGUAGUCUUUUGUAUGCUCAAGCGUGACAUCUAUGCCUACUUAUUGUGUACCACGAGAGAGUUUCGAUUCUCACAACCUUAUGUGGAACGUAGUUUAUAAUCAAUAAAAGCUCUUUUACUACUA